rnacentral:lncRNA from 1 species
UUUUUUUUUUUUUUUUUUUUUUUUUUGUCUUUUCUAAGGCCACACCUGCGGCACGUGGAGGUUCCCAGGCUAGGGGUUUAAUCGGAGCUGCAGCUGCCCGCCGACACCACAGCCACGGCCACGCCAGAUCCUUAACCCACUGAGCGAGGCCAGGGAUCAAACCCGCAAACUCAUGGUUCCUAGCUGGAGUCUUUAGCCACUGAGCCACGGUGGAAGCUCCCCGAAUAUUCUCAAUCUUACACGUGUUCUGACCUGGAGAAUAUAUUGUUAUUUUUUAUUUCAAGAAUUAAAGAAACCACUUCCCAGGAGCUCCCUUGUGGUGCAGUCGGUUAAGUAUCCAGCACUGUCAAUGCCGUGGCUUGGGUUUGAUCCCUGGCCCAGGAACUUCCGCAAGCCACAGGAGCGGCCAAAAGAAAAAAAAAGAGAGAGAGAGAAAAGCAAGACACCACUUCCCAAGCUACUGUAACACAGAGGUAAGUGUAAAGGCAGCGUUUCCCGUUUCCCGUCCUCGCCCUUCAGGGGCCACUCAGACUCAGUGACUCAUUAACAGUGAGCAACUUUCGGAGUUCCGGUUGUGGCGAAGGGGAAACGAAUCUGACUAGGAUCCAUGAAGAUGCGGGUUCAAUCCCUGGCCUCGCUCAGUGGGUCAGGAGCCCGCGUUGCCAUGAGCUGUGGUGUAGGUCGCAGAUGCAGCUCAGAUACCACGUUGCCGUGGCUCUGGCGUAGGCUGGCAGCUGUGGCUCUGAUUCGAACCCUGGCCUGGGAACCUCCAUAUGCCGCGGGCACAGCCCCCCCCCCAAAAAAAAAGAUCAGAAAGCUGAGUAUGAGCUCUCCCUGUUUUAACACAUAUCCUAGCUCUGCCCAGCAGGUGCGUGCUCCACGCUGCAGCAACACACAAACACACCUAGUGCCUAGACCUUGGUUUCUAAACACCUUCAGACACUGAGGGCACCAAAGCCCUGCAGAAACAGCGGAGGGAAGGUCUGGAAGGGGGGCGGGGAGUGCAGCCAGGACAAUGGGAGAUGCUGCCCGCGGCCCCCAACGGGUCACCUCCCUAUCGGAACCUGCAGAGGAUUUGAACAGAGUACAACAUAACGACCAAAUUAAAAUCCACUAGUCUGCACUGAUAUGCAAAGGCGAAAGGGAAAAAAAAAAAAUCUGCCACAACGGAGGUGAAGGUUAUGGCCACCACUUUGCCAGAAAAAGAGGGAUUGGAGCUCCCGUCGUGGCUCAGUGGUUAACGAGUCCGACUAGGAGCCAUGAGGUUGCGGGUUCGAUCCCUGGCCUUGCUCAGUGGGUUAAGGAUCCGGCGUUGCCGUGAGCUGUGGUGUAGGUCGCAGACACGGCUCGGAUCCCGCGUUGCUGUGGCUCUGGCGUAGGCCAGUGGCUACAGCUCCGACUGGACUCCUAGCCUGGGAACCUCCAUAUGCCGCAAGAGCGGCCCAAGAAAUGGCAAAAAGACAAAAAAAAAAAAAAAAAAGAAAGAAAAAAGAAAAGAAAAAAAAGAGGGAUAAGGGGAGACGGCGCCUUGGUCCUGUUUCCCGUUUCCCAGAAUGCAGGGGAUGAGGCGACGCGACCGGAAUACAGAAAGAGCAGCAGUCCCGGCAGGCGGCUGUGCAGGCGCGAGGCGACAGGAAGCCCAGCACCGCCUGCGCGGAGGCCGCUCCCAGGAGGGACCCGGGAGGGCGGCAUCGAGGAUGCGGGGGAGCCCUGGAGGCCGAGGGCCCCUCCGCGCCCCGCCGUCACAGGGUCCAGCGUCAAUGACAAAGCAGAAAACCAGCAGAGACACCCAGAACGGGGGACCUUCACGACAGCUGGCCCAGUCUCUUCAAAGAGUCAAUGACCUGGAGUUCCCUCCUGGCUCAGCGGGGUCAGGAUCCGCUGCUGUCACUGCUUUGGCUCCGGCUCCUGCUGGGGUGCGGGUUCGAACCCUGGCCUGGGACCUUCUGCAUGGCGAGGCGGUGGCCCAAAAAAGUCGAUGGCGUGGAAAUAAACGGGGGUGGCAGGGGGCCUACAGUCCCCAUGCUCGUGCGAUGACCCAGACGAGAGGCUGGUUCGGAAACGAGUGCCAACAAACACCCUGGGCAACGGGACAGCAGGGCCAUGGGGCCUCAGGAGGGACUGCGUGCCCUGUGCCGCCUCGGCCGCCCGGCCGCUCAGGCAGAGAUCCCCGCUCUGCCUCUUCUCUGAGGAGCAGCACCGGAGAGGAGGUCCCAGGACAGGCGCCGUCCCCCCAGGAUGCGCCGCCGGGGCGCGAGGGGCAGGCGACGCUGCGCCAGGUGGGGGCUCCCCCACCACGGAGGCCGUCCUGCUGUCGGGUCAGGGCCCAGGGGCUCCGGGAGCGGCCAGGCACGGAGGCAGUCUGAGCCCUGGCCUGGCUUGCCCCCGGCCCGGCCUCCGGAGAAGGCGUGCCCCGAGUCUGAGGGUGACGGGAACGCGUUCGGAGGGCGUGAGGCCACGACUAGCCGAUUCGGGGGGACAGGGGCACCCGCCGUGCCAGCAGGAGUGGCUGCAGCCACAUGAAGAGCGCUGUCCACGAAACGCCUGGGGCAGGUGCAGAGCGGUCCACAGCCGAGCCCCAGAAGGGGGCCGCUGAGGCCACCCGGACCCGCCACCCCGCCACAUCCUGGCCCAGAGCAGCCCAGUCCUGCCAAGGGCCCUGCCCCGGCCUGCCUGUGUUCCCUGGAGCAUCACCGGGCCUUUUCCUCGGGUUUAAGUGUCCCCACCAUCAUUACGGAAGUUCCUGAAUGGCAGAAACUUCUCUCUUCUUCUUUUCUGGCCUCGCCCGCGGCAUGUGGAAGUUCCUGGGCCAGGGACCGAACCCAUGCCACAGCUGUAACCAGGGCCUCAGCAGUGACACCAGGUCCUUAACCUGCUGAGCCGCCAGGGAACUCCCGGGAACCUCUUUUAAAAGCCACUGUUGUUCUCAGCAGGCAGAAGCGUGCCAGGUUCAGAGUAGAGAGGGGAAGAAACCACAGGCGGAGCCAGGCACGCCUGUCCUCAGCAACAGGGGGCACCAGAAGAAAAAGACUCCACUUCGUGCCUAACAAUGCCUUCCGGGAUUCCAGCUGCCGAAAGUUCCUAUCAGAUAAUUAGCCAGGAAGUGGUCGGGAACGAUGAGCACCUGGCAAUGAGCAGCAGGGCAGGGCAGAGGGCAGAAGAGACGGGAAUUCGAAAGGGCUGAGCAUGGGGAAGGUGGCUGCUCUGAAAUCCGCUGAGAUCCGGGCUCGAGGGCGGCCCGGCCCGAGAGGCUGCGGGCCGGCCAGGGCCACAGGCACCCCGACUUUCUCAUGCAGCUGAAUACGUAAGACACAGAAACGCCCACAUGCACAACUACGGCCCCGCAGCUUCUAUCAAGUCCGCAUCAGAUGCUAAUUACGAGAUGGACACUCGAGGCUGUCAGCACGUCUGUGCAGAGAUGCUCAGAAGGAAACAGAACGCGGCUGUGAGGGAGCCAGAGGCCCCGCACCCAGAGCCGAGUUCAGGUAACGCGGGCGCUGAAGCCGGGCCCAGAGCAGCGCAGACCCGACGCCAAGAGGAGAAAGCAUGGACCACUGUCACUGCUCUUCUGGCUCCAAACUCCACGCCAGGCAGGGGUCUGAAAUACAGGUACACACGUUUCCUGCACCACAUAAACGCGGCAUCGGCGCCUUUGGGCAGACACAGAUCCAAUCGGCAACCCUAAUAAUUCCCAGCGUGUUGGGGACAUUCUUUGCACCGCCUGAGUCAUGGACAGACCUCCUUGUGUGUGCGGUGGCAUUUUUUAAAAAAGAGCAGUUUUCAAGCCCAAAAAACAUCAGGAAUGAACCAGAACAGGGUUGGGGGAGGGGGGCUGUCCAGGAAGACCCUUCUUCCAAUCCAGUAGGUUAACGCCUUGGAAGAUUCACAGAGUUGCUCUUGAGCAGUGCUGGGCUUUUUCCCGAGAAAAUGUAAAUCAUGACAACCAGAUACAAUCUGUGUAAGGACCACAGGAAGUGCGCGUGCCUGCGCGGACAUCCCACUCGAAACCCUCAGCACGCUCAACUGUUUCCUCUCACGGAGUGACUGUGUACAGAAAUUCAUAACUGAAAGCUGGCUUAGAGCACUUUUUAAAAACUCCAACUAGGAGUUCCCACCACGGCUCAGUGAUAAUGAACCCGCCUACUAUCUAUGAAGAUGUGGGUUUGAUCCCUGGCUCACUCGGUGGGUUAAGGCUCUGGAGUUGCCGUGAGCUGUGGUGUAGGUCGCAGACAGCAGGUGCGGCUCGGGUCCCCCCGUUGCUGUGGCUUGUGGUGUAGGCCAGCGGCUAUAGCUCCGAUUUGACCCCUAGCCCGAGAACCUCCAUAUGCUGGGGGCGCAGCCCUAAAAAGCCUAAAUAAAUAAAUCGAUUAAUUAACUAAAACUCCACCUAAAUUCUUUUUCAUCUCCUACUUUUAUCACCAUGAUAUACAGAAAACAUCAAAAAUACUUUUACACGGGAGUUCCUCAUGUGGCUCAGGGGUAGCGAACCCAACUAGCAUUCCGUAAGGAUGUGGGAUCAAUCCCUGGCCUCAAUCAGUGGGUUAAGAAUCCGGCCCUGCCAUGAGCUGUGGUGUCGAUCGCAGACACAGCUCAGAUCCCAGCUGCUGUGGCUGUGGCGUAGGCCGGCAAAGGCAGCUCCGAUUCCACCCCUAGGCAGGGACCUUCUAUAAUGCUGCAGGUUUGCCCUAAAAAGCAAAAACAAAACAAACAAACACUAUAUAAAAAGUCACAAGAAUGCACCUGCAUUGGCUCACUGGCCUCAUGAAAAGUCUGAAGUGCAAUUCUUAAAACUAUAGACUUGAUCGGAUCAGAGUUAACUUCAAAACAAGUAACUUCCCUUUUUCACAAACAUGAAAAUGCCAAUAGCAGGUUCUUCUGAUGGCUCGGCUUGGCAGGGACUUGUUUCCAGAGAGGUACACACACCCACUGAAAGAAACCCCAAAUACAGAGUCGAGGGGCUGGCACUUGUCUUCAGCAAUGCGGGCCGCGUGGGUCACCGAAAAAGGAAAAACAAGACACACAAAUGACUCAACAUUUACUUGGCUCUAGCAAAACAAGCCCAAUUGGAAAACUAUUUGAAAUUAUGCUUGAUAAUUUGAUUCACGUUUUUACUAACUCAGUGUGAGUGGUCAUACCCAGACACACACACACAAUGACUGAAAAGCAUCAGAGGCCCGCAGCAGUAAGACUCGGCUCAUCUGCUUCCUAAGACAUAUGUAAAUAAGGCCCUCGGUUGCCUCUUCCUGAAAGUGCACUGAAAACGAAAUUCGGUAUCUAGAGAAAAACCCUACAAACAUAAUGAGUACGGUCAUUCGCUGCGGUGGCAGAGGACAAAGUACUUGAGGAAAGACACGCGACCAACACCUGUCAGCGGCUGCGAAGGGCUGCCGGCCGCCGGCCCGCGACCCCCGCGCCAGGACCGGUCUUCCCGCACGGCUC